rnacentral:pre_miRNA from 1 species
UCUUAAAAAUUCUAUCCAUUUUUAUUGUUAAAAUAUAGUGUAGAUGACUAAAAAAUAAACAAUUACACAUGCCGUGCCACAGUAACUCUUGCUAACAUAUAGUUGUCUAUUUUUAGCCGUAACAAUAAAUAAAAUUUUUAACA